UGACACCCUUCAAUCUAAUGUUUAUAGCUUUACUAAGUCAUCUGAUGCAAAAAAUAUGUAGCUUUUGACCCAAAUAAAAACCAGCUAAAAUGGGGCGUUUCAGCUCCAAUCUCUUGCCCACAGUCACAGCUCAGCCAUCUUCAUCUUCUUCGUCCGUUUCUCUUGCCGAUACUCCAGCAACCCACGGCUUCAUUGUUCAGACUCCAAAUGCUCGACCCCUUCCCGAUUAUGCUAAGUUGUUAUUCCUUUUGUUUCUCCUCUGAUUGUACUUUACUUCACUUUUCUAAUGACUGGUGGAUUGAGUCUCAAUGAGAUUGAUACCCCCACCUAGUCAAUAGAUCUGAUCUGCAUUGUACAAAUUUACGAAACUUCAUGUUGGAAGUUUUUCAGGAUCCAGUUGUAGACCAAAGCGGAAGUAACUUGCAGAUGGAACACAUUUAAGCCUACAUUCCUUGAUUGCAUAUCAGAUUUAUACCUUAGAGCUCUCACCAGGAAUUACAUCAAUCAUCUCUUCAUACAUCCAACGGUCAUCAUUAAGAAAGAUCCCUAUAUCCCUCACAUCAUGGCAAGAAGAUACCUUGGUGCAUAAAUAAUGGAUCUAGGUUGGUCCAAUCAUCAUACCAAAUUGUAGAGUGCAGGUCCCACAAUCCCGUUUUAGAUCCAAUUUUGGAUUCAUCUCUGAAAAAUUUGAAUUUGGUGUUGAAACAUUCGCAUUGACAUCGUGAUCAAUAUUUUAUUAGCGUGGCGGCAAUUGGAGGUGAUUUGGAGGUGAAGAUCAUCAAUUUGGUGGAUUUGGAGUGUGCGUGAUCGACUUUGAGAUCAUAGUACGGGUCAUCUCCGUUGAUUUGGAUUGGUGCGGAGCAGCUUGAUUAGAAGAUUUGGUGAGUUCCCGGCGUUCAGAGUUGUCGAUUUCCAUCUAUGUUGGAUUAAGACUAGUCUUUACUUGCUUUCGAAGAUUGUCUGUACUUAUAUUUGUAUCUAUAAAAGCCUUGUACUCGUAUUUUGAUUUAGAUGCUUGAUUAUCGACUAAUGUUAUGUCUUGGGGUGGUUCCUUGUGUUUUAAUUCAAUUGUUCUUUUACUUCUUA